rnacentral:rRNA from 1 species
GACGAACGCUGGCGGCGUGCCUAAUACAUGCAAGUUGAGCGCUGAAGGUUGGUACUUGUACCAACUGGAUGAGCAGCGAACGGGUGAGUAACGCGUGGGGAAUCUGCCUUUGAGCAGGGGACAACAUUUGGAAACGAAUGCUAAUACCGCAUAAAAACUUUAAACACAAGUUUUAAGUUUGAAAGAUGCAAUUGCAUCACUCAAAGAUGAUCCCGCGUUGUAUUAGCUAGUUGGUGAGGUAAAGGCUCACCAAGGCGAUGAUACAUAGCCGACCUGAGAGGGUGAUCGGCCACAUUGGGAUUGAGACACGGCCCAAACUCCUACGGGAGGCAGCAGUAGGGAAUCUUCGGCAAUGGACGAAAGUCUGACCGAGCAACGCCGCGUGAGUGAAGAAGGUUUUCGGAUCGUAAAACUCUGUUGGUAGAGAAGAACGUUGGUGAGAGUGGAAAGCUCACCAAGUGACGGUAACUACCCAGAAAGGGACGGCUAACUACGUG